GCCGGUUUGGCUCAGUGGAUAGAGCGUCAGCCUGCAGACUGAAGGUUCCUGGGUUCAAUUCCAGUCACGGGCA
rfam:Myotis lucifugus cont2.44463, whole genome shotgun sequence.